rnacentral:rRNA from 1 species
GGUUUGAUCAUGGCUCAGAUUGAACGCUGGCGGGAUGCUUACACAUGCAAGUCGAACGGCAGCACGGACUUCGGUCUGGUGGCGAGUGGCGAACAGGUGAGUAAUGUAUCGGAACGUGCCUGAUGGCCGGGGGAUAACUACGCGGACGUAGCUAAUACCGCAUACGCCCUUCGAGGAAAAGCGGGGGACCUUCCGGGCCUCGCACUAUUGACAGCCGAUAUCGGAUUAGCUAGUUGGUGAGCAACGGCUCGCAAGGCGACGAUCCGUAGCUGGCUGGUUUGAGAGGACCGACCAACCACACUGGGACUGAGACACGGCCCAGACUCCUACGGGAGGCAGCAGUGGGGAAUUUUUGGACAAUGGAAACCCUGAUCCAGCCAUCCCGCGUGUGCGAUGAAGGCCUUCGGGUUGCUAAACACUUUGGCAGGAAAGAAACGGCACGGGAUAAUACCCGAUACGGCGGUAACCUGCAGAAUGGCACCAUUCUUCCCGUGCAACAGCCGCGGUAAUACGUAGGUGCAAGCACGUUAAUCGGAAUUACUGGGCGUAAAACGUGCGCAGGCGGUUCGGAAAGAAAGAUGUGAUCCCAGGCUUAACUUUUGGAACUGCGUUUUUAACACCGAAUAAAGAAGGUGUGUCAGGAGGUGGAAUUCCCUUGUAGCAGUGAAAUGCGUAGAUAUGCGGAGGAACACCGAUGGCGAAGACAGCCUCCUGGGAUAACGCUGACGCUCAUGCGAAAGCAUUGGGGGAGCAAACAGGAUUAGAUACCCUGGUAGUCCACGCCUAAACGAUGUCAACUAGCUGUUGGGGCCUUCCGGGCCUUGGUAGCGCCAGCUAACGCGUGAGAUUGACCGCCUGGGGAAGUACGGUCGCAGAUUAAAACUCAAAGGAAUUGACGGGGACCCGCACAAGCAGUGGAUGAUGUGGAUUAAUUCGAUGCAACGCGAAAAGCCUUACCCUUGACAUGUCUGGAAUCCCGAAAGAGAUUUGGGAGUGCUCGCAAAGAGAACCGGAACACAGGUGCUGCAUGGCUGUCGUCAGCUCGUGUCGUGAGAUGUUGGGUUAGAAUCCCGCAACAAGGCGCAGCCCUUGUCAUUGGUUGCUACGAAGGGCACUCUAAUGAGACUGCCGGUGACAAACCGGAAGUGAGGAUGACGUCAAGUCCAUGGCCCUUAUGGGUAGGGCUUCACACGUCAUACAAUGGUCAGGACAGAGGGUCGCCAACCCGCGAGAGGAGCCAAUCCCAGAAAGUGAUGUGGUCAGGAUCUGCAAGUCUGCAGCUCGACUGCGUGAAGUCGGAAUCGCUGUAGUAAUCGCGGAUCAACGCUGUACUUCGGUGAAUACGUUCCCGGGUCUUAUGCACACCGCCGUCACACCACCAUCUGGGAGUGGGUUUUGCUAGAAGUAGUUAGCCUAACCGUAAGGGCGAUUACUACGGUAAGUUCAUGACCAGAGGUGAAGUCGUAACAAGGUAG